AUACGUAGGGUGCGAGCGUUAUCCGGAUUUACUGGGCGUAAAGGGUCCGCAGGCGGUCAGGUAAGUGAUGGGUAAAAGCCUCUGGCUCAACCAGAGACUCGCUCAUCAUACUGCCUGACUAGAGGAACGGAGAGGGUGCCGGAAUUGACGGUGUAGGGGUGAAAUCCGUUGAUACCGUCAAGAACACCGGAGGCGAAGGCGGGCACCUGGACGUUUCCUGACGCUCAGGGACGAAAGCUAGGGGAGCAAACCGGAUUAGAAACCCUAGUAGUCC
rnacentral:rRNA from 1 species